AUUGAACGCUGGCGGCAGGCCUAACACAUGCAAGUCGAGCGGAUGAAGGGGGCUUGCUCCUGGAUUCAGCGGCGGACGGGUGAGUAAUGCCUAGGAAUCUGCCUGGUAUUGGGGGAUAACGUCCGGAAACGGGCGCUAAUACCGCAUACGUCCUGAGGGAGAAAGUGGGGGAUCUUCGGACCUCACGCUAUCAGAUGAGCCUAGGUCGGAUUGGCUAGUUGGUGGGGUAAAGGCCUACCAAGGCGACGAUCCGUAACUGGUCUGAGAGGAUGAUCAGUCACACUAGAACUGAGAAACGGUCCAGACUCCUACGGGAGGCAGCAGUGGGGAAUAUUGGACAAUGGGCGAAAGCCUGAUCCAGCCAUGCCGCGUGUGUGAAGAAGGUCUUCGGAUUGUAAAGCACUUUAAGUUGGGAGGAAGGGCAGUAAGUUAAUACCUUGCUGUUUUGACGUUACCAACAGAAUAAGCACCGGCUAACUUCGUG
rnacentral:rRNA from 1 species